rnacentral:lncRNA from 1 species
GACAGCGAGGACACACACACGCACACACCGCUAAAUCGGUCACCGGAUCGUCUUGAGAAUUCGAAUUUGUGAAACGGACACGGAAACUAAGGCUAAGAGCACUGGGAGAAUCUCUUAAUUCAGUCCAAUAUAGUUGAUUUCUGCAACGACUGCAAAGAAACCUGCCAAAAAGCUAGUACAAGCCUUCCAUCAUCUUAUCUUUGAGGCAACAGCAAUGAAGAUCCACACAAGAGCGAUGGUGGUCGUACUGGUUCUAAUUGUGCUCCUGCUGACGCCCUCAUCGGCUUUGUUCUACCGCAAGUACAGGUUCUUCAGGCCAUUGAGAAUAAGAGUCCACAGGCCUACGAGCUCGGCCAAGUCACCUCACAGGUUCGGUCCAGGUCCCAUAGGUUUCCGAGGGAGACGCAGUUUAUGAUUCUUGAAUCCGUGAUCGAGGCCGCCUGAUGCAACUGCAUACAUGUUUCGUUAUCCAUCAAGAACAGAUCACCGGAGCAGUUAUAUAAAAGAUGGCAAUGUAUUGUAGAUAAUACAUGAUGUGAUGAAUUGGAAGGUGAUGACGAAUGAUGACAAAUAAUUGGUGUUCUGAUAUGAAACAUCGAUGGUGAUGUAACUGGCGUUCAUCCUAAAGUAUAAGGUACUGGUAAUGGGUCGUGGGUAUCUAUGGGUUAUGCUGAAAAUACCGUUGAUAAUUCCAUCUCGUGGCUAAGUACGAUUCGGGUGUCAACGUCAUGAAAGAAAUGACACAUGAAUUUUAAGGGCUUCGCCACAGGUAAGAAAUCUCUUAGGGGUUGCCAUGCAAGAGAUGGGUGCUCAGCUGUUAUGGUGCAAAGGAAAUGAUGCUUGGGACUGACAGAUAAUGGGAAUUGGGAUGGAUGAUAAGGAGAAAAUUGCAAUGGUGUUUGUUGUGCUUAUAUAUUUUAUGUAUAUAUAUCGCCGAUAAUGUUUGGUGCAUAUGUUGAAAUGAGGGAAGCAUGUUUUGAAUGAUUAGCGUUGGAUUGAAAGAGGAUGAAGAUCCUCGAUAAGAAGGACAGAAUUACAAGAAAAAAACAACAAAAAGAAAUGUAUAUUAUGAUACAUCGGAUUAGUACCGAUGAAAAAUAAUGCAUAUGUCAAUUAUAAACUAUAAUAAAAGU